rnacentral:rRNA from 1 species
GAUGAACGCUGGCGGCGCGCCUAACACAUGCAAGUCGAACGGGAACACCCGUAGCAAUAUGGGUGUUUUAGUGGCGGACGGGUGAGUAACGCGUGAGGAACCUGCCUUUCGGAGGGGAAUAACACAUCGAAAGAUGUGCUAAUACCGCAUAAUGUCAUCGGGCGGCAUCGCCUGAUGACCAAAAGAGCAAUCUGCCGAAAGAUGGCCUCGCGUCCGAUUAGAUAGUUGGUGAGGUAACGGCCCACCAAGUCUGCGAUCGGUAGCCGGACUGAGAGGUUGAACGGCCACAUUGGGACUGAGACACGGCCCAGACUCCUACGGGAGGCAGCAGUGGGGGAUAUUGGUCAAUGGAGGAAACUCUGAACCAGCCAUGCCGCGUGGAGGAUGAAGGUCCUCUGGAUUGUAAACUCCUUUUAUAAAAGAAGAAACCCCAUUUUUCUAAAUGGGUUACGGUACUUUAUGAAUAAGCACCGGCUAACUCCGUGCCAGCAGCCGCGGUAAAAGUCACG